AGCUGAUAUUAACAAAACAGGAAGAGAAUGUGGGUUGGCCGGCGGGGAGGUCCUAUAAAGAUACUCAUGAAAAAAGGUUAGAACCUUUAAAUUAUUUACUUGAGCACUUAGCACUUAAGGCUGAUCAUUUGACGUGGAUAUGAUUGUAAUAGAACUCUAUUUUGAAAUUCACCUCUGCCUAGUUGUGUCCUGAAAUGGAUUCUGUCCAGAUUCCACACCUUUGGGCAUAAUUAUCAUUGAAAUGAUAAUUAGGACAAUGGAAAAGCUAUCACCUCACCAUUUGGAGAGAUACUCUGAAAAAUAUGUCAGAGUCAAAUACAUGUGUCAAUAGGUAUUUAACCCAUUUCUAUUCCUAUCUAACGCUGAAUUGAUAACCUACGCAUAAAAUAAAGUCUCUGAAUUUGAAAAAAAAAAAAAAAAACUUUACUGACAAUUACUUGUUUGGUCAGAAGAGUUCUCUGAAUAUUCUGGUCUUGGAUCAGUGAUUAAUUUCCAUAUUUUGAUUUUGGAAUCCCAAUAAUGAAUCAAGAACAGAGGAUUGGCUCAUUCCAAGAAAAAAGAAGAUGGGAAUUUUCCUUAAGUAAUUGAAAUAAAUGAAAAAUAGAGUGACUACAAAAACAAAUAUGUUUAAUAGGAUUUGUUUUCCUCCUACCCUGAAUAUCGAAUUAUUGUACCUGACUGAAUGUGUUCAAGUGUUGUCGUAGGUCAAGCUCUUCAAUGCAGAGAUGAAAUUGUGGAUGUGGUCCAUCACGUUCAAAAUUGUCCAUUAAGCUGUUUAAACUUAAAAGUGCAUCUAUUGGCAAGUUUUGAUGCUACCCGUUUUUAGUGGAAGAGGGAAGCAAUGGGGAGUCGCUCUUUUGAUAGUGGUUUAAGGUGAUGGAAGACCACAUGCAUUGCAAGAUUAUCUUAUUUAAAGAGGAGAGAGCAUUUUGCUAAAGGAAUGGCCACUGCUGUGUUUCACCAAGCCUUAGGGGCUGCUCAGUCCCAUCAACACCUCCAGAACUCUGGCUCUCAUUAUGAACUUGUCAAUGCUUCGGUGAAACUGAUAUCUAAAGGUUUCAAGGUUGACAUUGGACUGCCAAGAAGAGGGAGUUGUAGUUCUUGUAAGAGGAAAUUUGGUGUUCUUCAAGCCUAAGCUUCUCAAACUUAAGUGGUUCAACCAGUUUCAUAUCCCCCAAAUUACUGCACUGAUGAGUUGCGAAAGAAAUAAAGUAUGCUUGUUUCAUUUUGAAAGCUUCUUUUGGGGCUCGAAAGGGUAGGAAAAGAAGCAUGUAAUGAUGAAAGUAACUUCCUUUAGUAUGUACUUUGUUGUGAUUCAUAUCUUUUUUAACAACACUGAAUUAGUGUCA